UGACGAGUUUACAUGGUACUCACUUACUUGAAUAUUGAUUCAUGUAAAAUGUAUGGUGUCUGAGACAAGAAAUCCAGAACAAACUCUACAGCAACCCAGGUAUUCAAUUCAUAACCCUUGUACAACAUUGAUUAAGGAGCAUGAAUGUAAGAAUGUUCCGGAUGCAGUUGAGGGCGAAACUGAGACAGGUACAAGAAAGGUCGUCAUAAGAAGUUCUUACUUUCAGCAUAAGUCUGAAAACCAGAAGGACCCAAACAAUAUACAAGAGAAGGUCAAGGCUGAUGAUGUCGUUGAUACAUAUGAGAAUAACAUACCCGAGGAUGCUUUUUUCAGAAAUAAUGAUAUUAAGGACAAAGUCAUGAAACGGAAGACCUCGUCAAAUGACUGGUCUCAAAAAGUGGUCACUCUGUUCCUGACUUCAGCAAAACAUCUACAGAGACAAAAGCUGCAGAAGGAAAGUUUGGAUCCAACAUUUCCCAUUUAAACCGUUAUUCUGAAAUAGCAGAAAAAUCAAUGGAAAAAUUCAUUUCAGUAAUAUCAUCAUUUAGAUGCUCCUCAUCUGGUUCUCGCGCCAGUGGUUUCAGUGGUCUCCGUGCUUCUCUAAAAGAUGUUCGGAAUACUUGUACCAAUAGGCCAACCAUUGGCAGAAGACUUUAGCCAAUUUGCAUAUGUACCGAAGACCCGGAAAACUGAAUUAGCAUCUCGCAGAGGUUGAAUUUGGAUUGUGUUUUGCAUAAUGUUUUUCGCCGGGAUCCAUCUCAGUUGCAACAGGAGCUUUAAACUCAAUUUGUUUAUCUAUCUACUAUUGCUGUUUUCUUCUAUUUUUAUUGAUUACUAUUUCCUUCUGUUUAGGGCUCACUUGCCUCAAGGACUAGUUGAAAAUUACUGGAGGUUUGGUUACACUGCCACCUGCCUGAUUGAUGUGUUUGUGUUUUUUAAUCAUAUUUUUGUAAUUUUAAACGUUUCUCUUGCUCUUGUGCUUUAAUUUGUGCAAAAUUAUUUCUAAUUGAAACAAUACAAAAUUAAGUUGAUUUCU